rnacentral:rRNA from 1 species
AGAGUUUGAUCCUGGCUCAGAUUGAACGCUGGCGGCAUGCCUUACACAUGCAAGUCGAACGGCAGCACGGGAGCAAUCCUGGUGGCGAGUGGCGAACGGGUGAGUAAUAUAUCGGAACGUGCCCAGUCGUGGGGGAUAACGCAGCGAAAGCUGUGCUAAUACCGCAUACGAUCUCUGGAUGAAGGCGGGGGACCUGCAAGGGCCUCGCGCGAUUGGAGCGGCCGAUAUCAGAUUAGCUAGUUGGUGGGGUAAAAGCUCACCAAGGCGACGAUCUGUAGCUGGUCUGAGAGGACGACCAGCCACGCUGGAACUGAGACACGGUCCAGACUCCUACGGGAGGCAGCAGUGGGGAAUUUUGGACAAUGGGCGCAAGCCUGAUCCAGCAAUGCCGCGUGCAGGAUGAAGGCCUUCGGGUUGUAAACUGCUUUUGUACGGAACGAAAAGGCUCUUUUUAAUAAAGAGGGCUCAUGACGGUACCGUAAGAAUAAGCACCGGCUAACUACGUGCCAGCAGCCGCGGUAAUACGUAGGGUGCGAGCGUUAAUCGGAAUUACUGGGCGUAAAGCGUGCGCAGGCGGUUUUGUAAGACAGAUGUGAAAUCCCCGGGCUCAACCUGGGACCUGCAUUUGUGACUGCAAGGCUAGAGUACGGUAGAGGGGGAUGGAAUUCCGCGUGUAGCAGUGAAAUGCGUAGAUAUGCGGAGGAACACCGAUGGCGAAGGCAAUCCCCUGGACCUGUACUGACGCUCAUGCAC